CAGCAGCCGCGGUAAUACGUAGGUGGCAAGCGUUAUCCGGAAUUAUUGGGCGUAAAGCGCGCGUAGGCGGUUUUUUAAGUCUGAUGUGAAAGCCCACGGCUCAACCGUGGAGGGUCAUUGGAAACUGGAAAACUUGAGUGCAGAAGAGGAAAGUGGAAUUCCAUGUGUAGCGGUGAAAUGCGCAGAGAUAUGGAGGAACACCAGUGGCGAAGGCGACUUUCUGGUCUGUAACUGACGCUGAUGUGCGAAAGCGUGGGGAGCAAACAGGAUUAGAUACCCCCGUAGUCCCUGUCUCUUAUAC
rnacentral:rRNA from 1 species